UUAACAUGGUCCUCUUUUUAGACAAUUUCUAUGACCAUGCCUCAUUGUCUUCAUGUUCAAAAUAUUUAAAAUGUAACAAAUUGGAGGAAAUGUAAGUUAUAUCACCAUCUUAUUUCAUGAUUUUUGUGAAAUGAGGAAAUCUCUGCAGAUAUAAAACCCAGAGACUCAUACACACAUUCUGCAUAAUCCUGAGGAAUGAGGCUUAAUAGUCAACCUAAGAAAAUUUGUUAUUCUCAGUUCUAGGAAUUGAUACAUACAUGAUACAUUUCAGAUACAGUAACGUAUCUGAAAUUUGUUUUUCUUUAGGUUUAGUAAGGGUGGAAGAGAGUACUGAUUAGUACUUUGGAAGCAAAUCUGAGAAGCACAUACUUUUCCUUAAAAGGUAGUUGUUACCAGAACUAUUCCUCGUGGUACCUCAAAGAGCUGGGACAAGUUCCUCUGACUGGAUCUUUCUUCCUUUCCACAAGGGGUGAGAGGGGGACUCUUCAGUUCUAUUCUUGCUGCAGUACUUUAAAAAAUGUUUAUUGGAGAAGAAAUUGACUCCUUUAUCAUCAAGUCAUGGAACCUUUUUUGUAUUUUCUUCAUUCUGUUUACCUCCCCUGUGAUCUCUUUGAGUUACUGGCAAGGUGAUUUAUUUGUGGCCCUAAAAUCUCUCUGUUCCUUGAUUUAUAGGUUAUAUCGUGCUUCCUCUCUUCCACACGAUCAGGAUCUUCAAAGUCCCCCAGAGCCUCACAAAACCCAGUGUGGCCAGUCUCUGGUGAAUUCAGUGGUGGUGAUCCAUGGUUCCUGACUCUUUUUCUAAACUGCUUUCUGGAUUCUCUUUGUCCACAAUCUUUCUCAGAGACAUAUGCUUGAUCUAUAAUUGGGCCUUCAAAGAGUGAAACCUGAAUCAAGGCACCAACUUGAAUGUUAUUUCAUAGCAUGGCCUAAUGGAACAGCAAUGGUAUAGCUGGGAAAUUGCAAAAGGAGUAACAAUUUGCCAAAGAGAGUGUGAUGGAUAAGUAAGAUCGGGACCAUUUUCUUAUUUUAUUGGGCUACAAUGAGCAGAAAAGAGGAGACUAUAGUGAAGAAUCAUGUCUCCGUUUCUAUAAAACCAGCAAACAAAGGUGUAAGUAUUGUAUCAUAAGUGGAAAGAAACAAAGUUUCUAGAUAGAAUAGUUAAAAGUUAGCAAAUCUCUUUCUUCUUUUCUUAGGAUAGGAUCUUUAUUCCUUCCAUUUCUCCCCCCAAAUAUCGGGCUUUGCAUUUUAAAAUACAAUACCUAGAAAUAAUAUACCAGAAAAUUCUCUGGAGGGAAAUUUCUAUACCUGUCUUUCCUGUGUAGGAUCCUAAUUAAUAAAUACGUUUAAAUAUAUGACUAAUGAUAUACU
rnacentral:lncRNA from 1 species